rnacentral:rRNA from 2 species
CGCGACCCCAGGUCAGGCGGGGUUACCCGCUGAAU